CAGUCGCCGCGGUAAUACGUAGGGUGCGAGCGUUAAUCGGAAUUACUGGGCGUAAAGCGUGCGCAGGCGGUUAUAUAAGACAGAUGUGAAAUCCCCGGGCUCAACCUGGGACCUGCAUUUGUGACUGUAUAGCUAGAGUACGGUAGAGGGGGAUGGAAUUCCGCGUGUAGCAGCGAAAUGCGUAGAUAUGCGGAGGAACACCGAUGGCGAAGGCAAUCCCCUGGACCUGUACUGACGCUCAUGCACGAAAGCGUGGGGAGCAAACAGGAUUAGAUACCCGAGUAGUCCCUGUCUCUUAUAC
rnacentral:rRNA from 1 species